rnacentral:rRNA from 1 species
GAUGAACGCUAGCGGCAGGCUUAACACAUGCAAGUCGUGGGGCAGCGCGAGGUAGCAAUACUUUGGCGGCGACCGGCAAACGGGUGCAGAACACGUACGCAACCUUCCUCAGAGCGGGGAAUAGCCUCUCGAAAGAGAGAUUAAUACCCCAUAGUAUCUCGGAUUCACAUGGAUCUGAGAUUAAAGCUCCGGCACUUUGAGAUGGGCGUGCGGCUGAUUAGGUAGUUGGUAGGGUAACGGCCUACCAAGCCAACGAUCAGUAGCUGAUGUGAGAGCAUGAUCAGCCACACGGGCACUGAGACACGGGCCCGACUCCUACGGGAGGCAGCAGUGAGGAAUAUUGGUCAAUGGAGGCAACUCUGAACCAGCCAUGCCGCGUGAAGGAUGAAGGUCCUCUGGAUUGUAAACUUCUUUUAUAGAAGAAGAAACCCCAUUUUUCUAAGUGGGUUGACGGUACUCUAUGAAUAAGCACCGGCUAACUCCGUGCCAG